ensembl:lncRNA
GAGUUUUCGUAAAUACGCCGACUGCGCCCUCCUGUGGUCAACGCCAGCAUUACAACAAAACGAGCCAUAAAAAAACCCUGUCUGUCUUCAAGCUGAAUAAAUGCUCGACUUUCUGUUGCAGAAAGUGAAAGUGCGGGUGGUUACAAACGUACUGAAACAGUUGGAUAAACGUCUGCCUUCUCGAGACUCGCAGCAGCUGCAGGUGGAGAGGCGGUGCAGUCCAAUAAGUGCAGUAUCCAGUAGGGCGAACGGUCUUGGGGGUAGUUUUGAACAGUACCACUGAUACAAUCACGCCUCGUGUGCUUUCAGGGGGCACUUUGAGGCCUGUUAUGCGCUCUGAAAAGCGCAUUACCACACCGCCUUGGUCUCCGAGAUUUCAACAAACGGGUCGCGCUGACUCGAAAAUGGCUCCAUCUGAUGGUGGAAGGUGGUCUACUUCCCAGACAUCUUGCGGAUCAUGUAGUUCAGGUCAGGAUGCCCCCGUUGAGGCCGGAUACACGUCUUCAAACCUUGUCCCUAUAGAAAAAUACUGUGGGUCCUGUUGGCAUCCAGGUCAAAGGCUGAGACCUCACUCGGACUGCUUAAUAACGCUCUGGGAGCCAAGACACACAAAUCUAUCUAGACAGUCACAGACCUUAUGAGUCCAAGAAGCAAAAUUGUUCAGUAUUUCUCUGUUGUAGCGAUUGUGCAAACUUACAGUGGGUUAUUCACAUUGUACACAGCAUGAAAAGUAACACAUGACAACUCUAGCUAUUAUAAAAACAC